rnacentral:rRNA from 1 species
UACGGAGGGGGCUAGCGUUGUUCGGAAUUACUGGGCGUAAAGCGCGCGUAGGCGGACCUGCAAGUCGGGGGUGAAAGCCCGAGGCUCAACCUCGGAACUGCCUUCGAUACUGCGGGUCUCGAGUCCGGGAGAGGUGAGUGGAAUUCCUAGUGUAGAGGUGAAAUUCGUAGAUAUUAGGAAGAACACCAGUGGCGAAGGCGGCUCACUGGCCCGGUACUGACGCUGAGGCGCGAAAGCGGAUGGG